rnacentral:rRNA from 1 species
UACGUAGGGUGCAAGCGUUGUCCGGAAUUAUUGGGCGUAAAGAGCUCGUAGGCGGUCUGUCGCGUCGUCUGUGAAAUCCCGAGGCUCAACCUCGGGUCUGCAGUCGAUACGGGCAAACUGGAGUGUUGCAGGGGAGACUGGAAUUCCUGGUGUAGCGGUGAAAUGCGCAGAUAUCAGGAGGAACACCGGUGGCGAAGGCGGGUCUCUGGGCAACAACUGACGCUGAGGAGCGAAAGCGUGGGGAGCAAAAGGG